GGGUACGAGUAAUGUUCUCCUAUUUUAAAACGGGUAACGGGUAGCGGGUAGCUAGUACCCGUGCCCGCCCGUGCAUGUUGUCAUCCCUAGACCUGAUUGUAACUCAGCCAGUAAAGAUUAUUUCGUGUCAUUCAGAAUUGUUGUGAGCUAUGGUAACAACAACAUUGGUACAUCCUCAACAUGUGAACUAUGAGAAAGCUUCAAGUACUGUAUGACACACAUCAAACGCCUAUACUCUUUCUAAACUCACUUGCCUAUCAUUUCCACUUGUUAUCCUUACAUGUAUAAACACUGCUACAAAUAAAUAUUUGAAAUGGAAGGAACCAAUCCUAAUCCAAAUAUUAUGAAUAUAACAUGCUAUGAGAUAAAUAUUGAACAUCAAACCAUAAAUCACUAACCAAUUCUAUAUAUAUGCAAGGGUUCCCCCAUGUUAUUGAACCUCAAUCCCUCGCCUUAAUCAGUACCCAAAAUGAAGAAAAGAAACAUGGAGAUGGUGGAACACAGUGAUAGUGACAUACAACAGUUGCUUCGCCUUCGUGUCUGGUGGAAACGUGAACCAACAGAAAUGGAACUCAAGACAAUGAAGAAGAUGAAUAGAGCCUCCAGCGAUAGACACUUCAACUUUUCCCUUUCUCUCUCAAUCUCUUAGAUAUGGAAGAGGAACUAAUGGAAGUAUAAAAUUAUCUCAGAUAUAUCAACACUUGAGUUUGGAAUGGAAGGUUAGGGAUAGCCUCUUAGGGCUUUCAGCUAUCCCUCCUUUUCAUUUCAC
rnacentral:lncRNA from 1 species